UUUCCGUAGGUGAACCUGCGGAAGGAUCAUUAUUGAGCCAAAAAGACUCCUAGUCAUAUGUCUAUGGAGCAGCUUGCGGGGUCGUCGCAUGUAUAUGUGAUCGAUUGCCGGCUAUCUAGCCGUACGCAAUCGCCCUUAGCGAGAACAACGUCUAUGCUUUAACAAGUGUAUUCGUUAUUAAAGUAAUCAACGGUCUUUCGGUUGGUGUCUACGCUCGGUCUAGUGAUCGCCAAUCCGUCGGUCAUGUUCGAAAACCGGGAGACAGUUCCUUUAAUCACUUGUGAUUGAGGUGAGCAGACUCAAUGAGCAUAUGCAGGGAUGCCGCCAACCAUAACCUCUAAACGAUGUUGAUAAUUCGUAUAUAUGAAGUUGAUUUUUAAUCGACUAAAAAGAUACCACUCUAAGCGGUGGAUCACUCGGCUCGUGUAUCGAUGAAGAACGCAGC
rnacentral:misc_RNA from 1 species